GGCCUGCUAGCUCAGUCGGUUAGAGCGUCGUGCUAAUAACGCAAAGGUCACGGGUUCGAUCCCUGUGCAGACCA
rnacentral:tRNA from 1 species